GUGCAGAUGAUGUGAAUGAUUUUUUUUUCCACUGAGUAAACUGAUGCUUUCAAAGGAACCACUGAUGCAC
rnacentral:snoRNA from 1 species